GCCUACGUAGCUCAGGGGUAGAGCACUUCCUUGGUAAGGAAGAGGUCAUGGGUUCAAUUCCCAUCGUCGGCU
rnacentral:tRNA from 1 species